AAACCUCUCAUUCCAAUUCUUUAUUUAAUUAUAUUGGGUUGUGAUAUGGAUGUUGAGUGCUGCCGUAAUUUGGCUCACUUUAAAUUUAUAAGUACUUUUAUUGAAGAAAUAAAUGGAUAUUUACUCAGUGUAAUAUUUACUAUUCAUUGAGGAGUGUAGUCAUUUUUCUUGACGACAGCCAUUUGAACAUUUAAUAAAUAGCUUCCUAACCCUAUUAUAUCAAAUU
rnacentral:misc_RNA from 1 species